GAAAUGCUUCAGGAAUAUCUGACACUGAAUUGUUUGGCCAACUGUAGAUAAAUCUGUCAAACCCUUUGGCUUUGUUACAAGGCAGCAUUUCGACUGACAAGUGCCCUCUUCUACCUGCAAGAGUAUCUGUUCUUAAGGCUGAGGUAGUAGAUUGAAUAGUUGUGGGGUUUGUGUCCUCCCUCUGAGAUAACUAUGCAAUCUACUGUCUUUCCUAAGGAGACAGGCUGAUCUGCUGUGAUGCCUCUAGCCUGUGUGCACAUAAGAAGCCUUAUGGAUAAUGGAACUCAUGGACUGAGUGAAGUAAAUUUGGGGAAGAGAUUACGGACGCAACAAAGAUUUAAGAUAUUUAACAGAUACAAUGGUGGAACUGAUCUAUCUUGUUCUGAAGUUGGUACAUAUUGAAUGAACUCUUGUUUUUAUGGAUGCUGUGCUUGAAGUUGAGCCUAGCAAGGUGAGGUAGUAGGUUGUAUAGUUUGUGGGAUGGAGUAAAUCCUACUCAGGUGAUAACUAUACAGUCUAUUACCUUCCUUGAGAGGUACAAUGAGUGCUUGGAUUGAAGCUAACUCCCAUUUACUGAAUACUGAAGGAGCCACUCUGAUGCCAUCUUGUGGCCAAAGACUGUCAUCACUGGAAAGCUUUGGGGUCUCUAUUUAAUGUAUCUGGAGCCAUAUUCACAAAACAUCCUACAGCUGAAAGGAACUCAUAACACCUUUUUGUGUGAAGGUAUUUGACAAAAAAAAUGUUAUCACUAAUAGUACAUCCUUAGUCUGAGAGAUGUUAUAGGAAGACUGCUGAGUCGCAGACACUACUCACUGUCAGCGAUGUUUCAUGAAAACAGAAUGAUAAUGGCUUUAAUAUGCUCAUCAAUAAAAUGAAACAAUCAAAUAACACUGAAGAUGACAACUACAAUAGAGUUUGCUGCAAAUACAGUUUGCAGAGCUGAUAACUGUAGCCUCAGCUGUAAGACAGAAUCAUUCAUCAAACUACAAAUGCACUCAGACCACAAUUUGACAGGUCACAAAGUGCACAUUGAUUAAUCACAAAUUGCAGUAAACACAUAAAUAAAGGUAUUUGCAUGACCAUUGCUGGAUUGUCCAAGAAAAUCUGUGCGUUACGUGGAAUUAAAGUAUUAUGGCUUGUUUUGUUAGCUGGAAGACUGGCACAUGCUGAUGGCAUCUGACAUUUUUACCACAACAAUAUUUUGUCUCACAUAUGAAAUCUCUGAUGCAUUUUGUCUGUGUCUCUGAAGAUUAAUGAUUUUUUUUAUUUCUCAUUCACUGACUGACCGCCUGUCAAAACACCGAUCACUGUGGACAUAGCUGGAGGAAGUUCAAGAUGAUGCCAUCCACAGUGGGGCAAAAGCUGACACUUCUCUUAGCUCAGGACUUCUCUUUCCUCUCCACAGCUUUGCAAAUUCCUCUAACGUUUGUUUAUCAUACAUAUAGGUCUGUCAGAUAAAUAAAGACUGAAGAAAAUCUAA